UGAAUACAACUACUUAAACCACGAUUUUGACUUUAUAUGAUAAAUCAUUUUUGUACCACAAGGUAAAAGUACCCAUCAAAGGCAUGGAUAGAGAAAAAUACUCAUCGCCUUAAAGUUUUCAUUCAGGAGAAGAAGUCCGAUAAGGGUGAAACUUCAUCAAACCUAGGGGAGAUAUGUACCCCCUCUCCAACCAGCAUGGGAGACGUGCAGUGGAAACGUGCACGUGGGAUUACAGGAACUACCUCCAUUAUUGUGACUCGCUGUACAAGAUCUACAAAAAUAUUCCACCUGCCCUAAAGGUGUAUAUAUAGGGUCGACCACGAUCUAGCACUUAUUAUACAAAUAUCCACCGGAGUUACACGGACCUGGUAGCAAGUAAUAAAAGGCAACCGUACGGCCUCCAAAAAUGAAAAAAAAACAAACAUAUAUAGUCGGCUAUAAAAUGCUCCGACCAUACAAAUUAGGGAACAAAACAAACAAAACUAACAGGCUUAUUGAUUACAAAAUAAUUUACAAAAAAAAACAUACUCAAACGACAUGAACCAACAACAACCACUGUACCCGGACUAUAUGUUCCUGGCUUUGGAAUGGGCAUUGGUACAUAAACAAUGUGGUGGCCAUAAACUCAACCCUCCCCAAUGAACCCAACCUAGGACAGCACACCGCAAGAAAAAAAGUAUCAGUUGCAAUUGGCUUCACUAAAAAUGUUGAUACGUUGCACAAACAUCACUUACAUAAAAACAAUAGAAACAAAGCACUGAAAUAAAAGUACUCGCAGUUACUGAAAGUUAUUUCAAAGCUAGUGAAAAUAUAGACGGACUAGUGAGCAUAGACACACUGGUAAACAUGUGAACAGACGGGUGAAUAUGUAGACAGACUGGUAAGCAUGUGAACAGACGGGUGAAUAUGUAGACAGACUUGUCGACAUAUAGACAGACAUGCAGUUGAGAAUGUAGAAAGACUAGGGGACACAAAGCAAGACAGAUUAGUUGAAACAUAGACAGACUGAUAAACCUGUAGACAG
rnacentral:lncRNA from 1 species